AGAGUUUGAUCCUGGCUCAGGAUGAACGCUAGCGGCAGGCUUAACACAUGCAAGUCGAGGGGUAACAGGGGAGCUUGCUCCCGCUGACGACCGGCGCACGGGUGAGUAACGCGUAUGCAACCUACCCAUAGCAUGGGGAUAGCCUCGAGAAAUCGGGAUUAAUACCCCAUAGUAUUUAAGAAACACCUGUUUUUUAGAUUAAAACUACGGUGGCUAUGGAUGGGCAUGCGUGUCAUUAGUUUGUUGGUGAGGUAACGGCUCACCAAGACUACGAUGACUAGGGGGUCUUAAAGGAUGAUCCCCCACACUGGUACUGAGACACGGACCAGACUCCUACGGGAGGCAGCAGUGAGGAAUAUUGGUCAAUGGGCGGAAGCCUGAACCAGCCAUGCCGCGUGCAGGAUUGACGGCCUUAUGGGUUGUAAACUGCUUUUAAACGGGAAGAAUAAUUGUCACGUGUGACGAGAUGACUGUACCGUAAGAAUAAGCAUCGGCUAACUCCGUGCCAGCAGCCGCGGUAAUACGGAGGAUGCAAGCGUUAUCCGGAUUUAUUAGGUUUAAAGGGUGCGUAGGCGGGACGGUAAGUCAGUGGUGAAAUCCUAUAGCUUAACUAUAGAACUGCCAUUGAUACUGUCGUUCUUGAGUACAGAUGAGGUGGGCGGAAUGUGUUGUGUAGCGGUGAAAUGCUUAGAUAUGACCCAGAACGCCAAUUGCGAAGGCAGCUCACUAGACUGUAACUGACGCUGAUGCACGAAAGCGUGGGUAGCGAACAGGAUUAGAUACCCUGGUAGUCCACGCUGUAAACGAUGAUCACUCGCUGUUUGCGAUAUACUGUAAGCGGCCAAGCGAAAGCAUUAAGUGAUCCACCUGGGGAGUACGUUCGCAAGAAUGAAACUCAAAGGAAUUGACGGGGGCCCGCACAAGCGGAGGAACAUGUGGUUUAAUUCGAUGAUACGCGAGGAACCUUACCUGGGCUUAAAUGUUGUAUGCUUUUAACUGAAAGGUUAUUUUCCGUAAGGACAGACAGCAAGGUGCUGCAUGGCUGUCGUCAGCUCGUGCCGUGAGGUGUCGGGUUAAGUCCCAUAACGAGCGCAACCCCUAUCAUUAGUUGCCAGCGAGUAAAGUCGGGGACUCUAAUGAGACUGCCACCGUAAGGUGAGAGGAAGGUGGGGAUGACGUCAAGUCAGCACGGCCCUUACGUCCAGGGCUACACACGUGUUACAAUGGCCGGUACAAAGGGCAGCUACUAUGUGAAUAGAUGCUAAUCUCGAAAGCCGGUCUCAGUUCGGAUCGAAGUCUGUAACUCGACUUCGUGAAGGUGGAUUCGCUAGUAAUCGCGCAUCAGCCAUGGCGCGGUGAAUACGUUCCCGGGCCUUGUACACACCGCCCGUCAAGCCAUGGAAGCUUGGGGUACCUGAAGUCCGUAACCGUAAGGAUCGGCCUAAGGUAAAACGAGUGACUGGGGCUAAGUCGGAACAAGGUA
rnacentral:rRNA from 1 species